ACUACUGUGGUGCCAGCAGCUCUGAGAGGAGGGGAUUUAAUCAGAUCCCCUAUUUCAGGGCAUGCUGCUUUAGUAUUAAGAGAAACAAACCAAUUUCUUAAGUGGAAAUCCUGAACAGCAAAGAGAUCUUUCCAUGAAUGUUCUCAUUAGGAAUGACGGGGGUUUUUUGGAAGUCCUGCCAAUUCUUCGAGGAGGCCACGAUUAAGACAAGAUGGUUCAGCUACACACAUCCAAACACCUGGGGAACAGCUGCCGUGCAGCGGCUGAGGCAACACUCAAGGUGUUCUCGAUCCUUCUCGAUCCUGAGAGCAGGGCAAGCGCGUCAGAGGCCCUUGAGCUCCCGUUCUUCAGCGAGUUCAGAGAUGUGGAGGAGGAGACUGAGGCGCUGCCAUACGAUCAGACAAUAGACAACACAGACCUGCCGCUGGAACAGUGGAAACGUGAGAGAGGACACUCCAUUCCAUACAUUUUGCUUGCUGUAGUAACUUAGAUGUAAUGAACCAGCAUCCUUCAGUUUAAACUGUUGUGAUUUGUCCCAACAUUG